rnacentral:rRNA from 1 species
AUUGAACGCUGGCGGCAGGCCUAACACAUGCAAGUCGAACGAGUGGCGGACGGGUGAGUAAUGUCUGGGAAACUGCCCGAUGGAGGGGGAUAACUACUGGAAACGGUAGCUAAUACCGCAUACCAUCGGAUGUGCCCAGAUGGGAUUAGCUAGUAGGUGGGGUAACGGCUCACCUAGGCGACGAUCCCUAGCUGGUCUGAGAGGAUGACCAGCCAUACUGGAACUGAGCCACGGUCCAGGCUCCUACGUGAGGCAGCGGUGGGGAAUAUUGCGCAAUGGGCGCAAGCCCGAUGCAGCCAUGCCGCGUUUAUGAAGAAGGCCUUCGGGUUGUAAAGUGCUUUCCGCGGGGGGGCGUUACUCGCAGAAGAAUCACCGGCUAACUCCGUGCCAGCAGCCGCGGUAAUUC